UUCCUCUCAUCGUUGUCUUUUCUCUUCAUCUUCAUCUUUUUUUUUUUUUUUAAUCUUUUCCCUUGCCGUGCUACUAGAGCUCUCAAGUUCUUGUUUCUCCCUUGUCAUCUUCGGAUCUUCUUAAUCGUUUGUUUCAUUCACCUCCUCAGUUUAUCAAUUUUCAUAGAGGAGAGGAACCUGGGGCUGCACCAUUGUUUUGUGAAUUUGUGAUUUGCUCUGGUUCUCUGGGGUUGCUGUUGCAAUCUUUGAUUUGUGUAGCAGCGCCUCGUCCGCCUCCCCACCGCCAGAAUGGAAUUUCAGUUUCAGGGUCAUCAAAGCUGUUGGCCAAUAUUCUGUACUCAUGGGCUUAUCUGUUGGGAACUUGAUUGCUAGAUGGGAUGAAAUGGGUCUUCCACUCUAUCCAAUUUUGGGGAUGUUUGGAGCAGACAGAUUUGAUGCUAUUCUUCUUCCAGGCUAGCUAAGUGAUCAAUAAUAAUAGGUAGGCUUUUUAUUUGUAUUCAUGCCCAUCAUGGCUUUGAAAUGAUUGAAAUAUUUUGUUGGCAAAAGACCAUGGAAUUCAUUGUGUGAGAGGUCUAUGAUUCGCAAAUUAGGGAAAGAGAAUUUGGUUUUGGGACUGGCUAUGGCACCAUGAAACUUGUUUGAUCGCAAAACAAGAACUCGUAACUCUGGAAGACUCUCCAACCAAUGAGGGAAGGUGCCACUUAUCUUGUUGUUACCAAGAUCUAGUACUUCCAACCCUUCCAAUUGAUUGUCAUUGAGGUUAAGACUUCUCAAGUAGUU